rnacentral:rRNA from 1 species
GACGAACGCUGGCGGCGUGCUUAACACAUGCAAGUCGAACGGAAAGGCUCCAGCUUGCUGGAGUACUCGAGUGGCGAACGGGUGAGUAACACGUGGGUAAUCUGCCCUGCACUCUGGGAUAAGCCUGGGAAACUGGGUCUAAUACUGGAUAUGACCUUUCUCCUUAUGGGGUUUGGUGGAAAGUUUUUCGGUGUAGGAUGAGCCCGCGGCCUAUCAGCUUGUUGGUGGGGUGAUGGCUUACCAAGGCGACGACGGGUAGCCGGCCUGAGAGGGUGAUCGGCCACAUUGGGACUGAGAUACGGCCCAGACUCCUACGGGAGGCAGCAGUGGGGAAUAUUGCACAAUGGGCGGAAGCCUGAUGCAGCGACGCCGCGUGAGGGAUGACGGCCUUCGGGUUGUAAACCUCUUUCAGCAGGGACGAAGCGUAAGAGACGGUACCUGCAGAAGAAGCACCGGCUAACUAUGUG